UACGAAGGGGGCUAGCGUUGUUCGGAAUCACUGGGCGUAAAGCGCACGUAGGCGGAUGUGUCAGUCAGGGGUGAAAUCCCGGGGCUCAACCUCGGAACUGCCUCUGAUACAGCACAUCUUGAGUCCGGAAGAGGUGGGUGGAAUUCCUAGUGUAGAGGUGAAAUUCGUAGAUAUUAGGAAGAACACCGGUGGCGAAGGCGGCCCACUGGUCCGGUACUGACGCUGAGGUGCGAAAGCGUGGGGAGCAAACAGG
rnacentral:rRNA from 1 species